rnacentral:rRNA from 1 species
AGUGUAGCGGUGAAAUGCGUAGAGAUUGGGAGGAACACCAGUGGCGAAGGCGGCUUUCUGGACGAUAACUGACGCUGAGGCGCGAAAGCGUGGGUAGCAAACAGGAUUAGAUACCCUGGUAGUCCACGCUGUAAACGAUGGAUACUAGGUGUAGGAGGUAUCGACCCCUUCUGUGCCGGAGUUAACACAAUAAGUAUCCCACCUGGGGAGUACGGCCGCAAGGCUGAAACUCAAAGGAAUUGACGGGGGCCCGCACAAGCAGUGGAGUAUGUGGUUUAAUUCGAAGCAACGCGAAGAACCUUACCAGGGCUUGACAUCCCUCUGACGGGCUUAGAGAUAAGCCUUUUCUUCGGAACAGAGGUGACAGGUGGUGCAUGGUUGUCGUCAGCUCGUGUCGUGAGAUGUUGGGUUAAGUCCCGCAACGAGCGCAACCCCUGUUGUUAGUUGCCAUCAUUAAGUUGGGCACUCUAACGAGACUGCCGGUGACAAAUCGGAGGAAGGUGGGGACGACGUCAAAUCAUCAUGCCCCUUAUGUCCUGGGCUACACACGUACUACAAUGGCGACUACAGAGGGCAGCAACAUCGCGAGGUAGAGCAAAUCCCCAAAAGUCGCCCCAGUUCGGAUUGCAGGCUGAAACUCGCCUGCAUGAAGUCGGAAUUGCUAGUAAUGGCAGGUCAGCAUACUGCCGUGAAUACGUUCCCGGGCCUUGUACACACCGCCCGUCACACCAUGAGAGCUGACAACACCCGAAGUCGGUAGCUUAACCGCAAGGAGGGCGCCGCCGAAGGUGGGGUUAGUAAUUAGGGUGAAGUCGUAGCAAGGUAACCGUA